CCAGAAUACAACAUAAGGCAGAGUAAGGAAUAAUUCACUCUCUGAAUGACUGUUUUCAAGCUGGGACAUGGGUCUCCUGCCUUCAGACUUGGUCUCAGAUAGAACUUAACCUUCAAUUCUUCUGGUUUUUGGACUGAGAAUAGGAUUGGGGCUUAAACCAUCAGCUUUCCUGGUUCUCGGGUCUUUGGAUCCUGAUUGGAAUGAUAUCAUUGGCUUUCCAGAGUCUUUAGCUUGCUGACUGCAUAUCUUGGAACUUCUCAGCUUUCAUAAUCAAUUACAGUUGAAUAUGAGGAGCUGGAUUGCAGUGUCAUGACCUGGGCUCAGUGUAACUUCCAUCUGCCAGGCUCAAGAGAUCCUCCCGCCUCAGCGUCUCGAGUAGCUGGGACUACAGGAACGUGCCACCAGGCCUGGCUAAUUUUUUAUUUUUUUUGUGAAGACGGGGUUUCACUAUGUGGCUCAGGCUGGUCUCAAACUCCAGGAAUCAAGGGACCCACCUGCCUAGGCCUCCCAAAGUGCUGGGAUUACAGGCAUGAGCUACCGCACCAGGGCUACUGAAAUGUACAUAUGGUAGAGGUGCAGCAUCAGUCAUGCUGAUGAAGAAAACAUCCAUGGGAUUGAUGGAGGAUGAAAACGGGCUCAAUAAAAAUUCACAGAGAAAAGCUGCCUUACGUGUGAGAUUGCAAGAGGACAACUCGGCUCUAAAAUCGAUGCAUUAACAUGUCAUUGGAAUUGACCUUGCCAAAAGAUGCCUCCCUAAAUCCACAAGAAUCUCCUUGUUUGAACACAGUUUCUAAUCCAGCUGUAAUGAAGACAGACAACAGUCAAAUUAACAACUGAUCAGGAGGAGAAGUUCAUACUCCUUGAGCUGGAUCUAUCUGCACAUGCACCUGGCCCAGGAAGCUGAAAUGGGAGAUCUGAUGAGCAGUGGAGGACUGAACCAAAGCCCUUGGCUUUUGCUCCAUACCAGUCAGAGUCUCAUCAGGAUAUCAUGUUGCAUUGAGUAGUCAUGUCUCCACAGGCUUUUCUUGGCUGCGACUCUUACUCACGUUUUCCUUGGUUUUGCCCACCUUACAGUUUACAGUAGUGGUCAGGUAUUUUGUAGUAUGUCCCUCACUUGGGCUUUGCUUGAUGCUUAUCUCCUGAGAAAACUAGGGAUAUGUAUUUUGGGGAGGAAGGCCACAGAGAUGAAGUGACAUUCUUUUCACAUCAUAUCAAUGCUACAUACUAUCAAAAGGGCUUAUCACUGUUGAUGUUAAUUUUAAUCACCUGGCUAAGAUAUUCUUUUUCAGGAUUUUGACUUUAAAGUUACCCUUUAUGCUUUUCCUUCUCAUAAAGUGCUCUUUGAAAUGAAGUCACUCUGUGCAGCAGACAUUUAAAAAGCAGGAAAUUAUGGUGACAGAGUAUCUGUAUAAAUUAUUUGCAGUUCUUUUAUUUUCAGAGUUUGGAAUUAUAGCACUCCUAUAAAUCUUAUUACUAAUGGUGCCACAAAUUGUGUACUACUGAUAUGUAUUAGUGCACAACUUAAAGCAUGUGGACAUGAGCUGUAUUUGAAAAAACAUUCAGAUGGAAGAGCUACCUGAUUUGAAGUGAAUCUUAAUUGGAACUUAAUGAUGCCUCCUAGUAAUUUACUAUUUUAGCUGAACCUACAGUAUCAGCUGUAGCCCAGAAAAUAUAAGAGCUACAAUUCGUACAAUUCAACAUCAGCUGCCAAGGCCCACCUGGACUGCACCUGCAAAACCAGCUGUGGUUUCUUUGCUCUCACAAUUCAUGUCAGUGUUUUUCAGCCAAUGCAUCACUGGUUUCGAAUUUUAUACUGUUCCUCUCUCAGUCCUCCACCCCUCUAGUUUCUAAAUGAUAGAGAAUAAUUAGGUGAGGUUUAAACUCUCAGGAUUAUUCAGGGUUUGUGGAGAGUAGGAAGGUUUCUUCCAGGUUACAGCACAAUUUAAGGAGCCUGGCAAGAAGCAUCCAAUAUUAGCAAGUAGAAAAGCAGCAUAAGUAUGAGGUUGGAACUUCCCACGAUACUUAGUACAUGGAAAAAAAUGUAGAACAUACCAAAAAAAAAGCAAAUUGUAAAAAAAUUUCACAAAUAAAAAUACUGUUAUGAAAAUUAUAAUUCACAUUUUUAAUAUUUUUUAUUGUAAAAUGUAUAAAAUUUGCCAUUUAACCUCUUAAGUGUACAAUUCAGUGGCAUUAAUUGUAUUUACAGUUUUGUGCAACAAUCACCACUAUUUUCAAAAAUUUUCAUCAAUCCAAACAGAAACUCUGGCAAUUAGUAACAACUCCCCAUUUUUUAUUCCUAAUCCAUCCCCUAGUAAACUCUAAAUCUUGUCUCUGUGAAUCUCCCUGUUCUAAAUAUUUGUAUAAGAGGAAUCAUACAACAUUGACCCUUUUGUGUCUGGCUAAUUUCACUUUGCAUAAUGUUUAAAAGCUUCAUCCAUAUAGUGACAUGUAUGAGAACUUCAUUUCUUUUUUAUGGCUCAAUUAUAUUCCACAGUAUGCACACACACCCCAUUUUGUUUAUCCAUUCAUCUGUUGAUAGACACACGUGGGUUAUUUCCUCCUUUUGGCUGUUAUGAAUAAUGCUGCUAUAAACACUAGUGUGCAUUUAUCUGAAUUCAUGUUUUACAUUCAUUGGGAUACCAAAUUAAAAUGCUGGGUCAUAUGGUAAUUCUGUUUAACAUUUUAAGGUAUCACCAAACUGUCUUCCACAGCAGCUGCAUCAUUUUAAAUGCAGACCAACAAAGUAUGAUUCUCCAAAUUUCCCAGUUACUCGUCAACUCUUGUUCUACAUUUUCUAACUAUAGUGAUACUAGUAGGUAUAACAUUAUGUCAUUGUGAUUUUGAUUUGCAAUGGCCUAAAAACUAAUGGUUUUUUAAUAACUUUCAUGUUGUACUCAUUGGCCAUUUGCAUAUCUUUAGCAAAAUGUCUAUUCAAAUCCUUUGCCUGUUUUUAAUUGGGUUGUUUUGUCUUUUUGUUGUAGAGUUGUAGUUUUUUAAUGUCUUGAUAUAAAUCUCUUACAAGAUACAUACUUCACAGUACAUUAUCUCAUUUUGUAAAUAAGUUAUUUCACUCUCUUAGUGAUGUUUUUAUUAUCUAAAGGUUUUAAUACUUUUUAAAACUUGUACUGUGAAUAUGAUAUGCCCUGUGAUUAACAAAUUUAUUUAUUACUUAAACAACUUAAUUUUUAAAAAUAAUUGCAUGAAUAUUUUUGUCCUAUUUGUUCCAUUCCUACUUCGUGAACACCAAUUAUCUGUUUGACAGAUUGUCAUUUUCCAUGCUUCAUACAAAUUCUUUUUUCUUCUGCAUUUUUUUCUUUCCAAUCUUUGUGAAUGUAUUUAAUUUUCUUGCCUUGAUAUUCUGACUAGAACCUCCAGUAUAAUUUAUUUAUU
rnacentral:lncRNA from 1 species